UAUUCAAAGAAAGAUAUAUUAAAUUAUUCAGUGAUCAUAAAGCUUUAAAAUCAGAAUACAGUGUGUUCGUGGUAUUGCAAAUUAAAAUAAGGCGUCGUUAUUCAAUAAUAAUGUUGUCAAAGAUUUUGUUCGAUAAGUUUCUCUUUAGAAUUAAACGUGUUACCGCUAAUCACGUGUAUAUGUAUAUUUCAGUUUCGAACUAUCAGGAAUCAGAAAUCAAGACAUCAUUCUCACGGAAUUGUCAAGAUCUUUCGAGUCAUAGAAACACAUAUAUAAAGUUUUUUUGAACAUUACUAAUUCCAGACUAGGUAGAAGUAAAUAAUCAGAUUACUCUUCUACAUGUGAAAAUAAGUCGGAAAUAUAGAAUAAAAUUUAUUCACAAGACGGUUUGUUUCCGAAAAAUAUAAAUUUGCAAAUUUAUCAUAUGUGUACACUAAGACAAUUCUUAAUUAACACUAGAACUACCACACCAGUCAAAAUGACUAGUAUAACAAAUUUAUUUAAAAAUUUUUACUUCAUGUUAUAUUUUUUCUCCGCAAUGAUGUAAUGACCUUUGCAGGGAUAGCUAAAGGAAUAAUAUAAUAAACUUUAAUUUUGUUUUAUUCAUUUAAAAUAAAAGUAAUUUUGUAUCAUGGCUAUUUAUACCAGUAUUAGUCAAAUUGACUGGUCAUUCUGUAGAGCACAGUCGUUGGAAUAAGAUCUGAUUUCUCGUUUUAUAAAGCAAUAUUUUACAAGCCUUGAAAAUGAGUAAAAAAUUGGAAGCAUCCGAAUUGUUGCAAAAACUGAAAAGGAUACCAAUGGAAUGCUCUGAUAUCGAGGAUAGUGAAUUCUCUGAGUAUGAAGGAAGUGAACCAGGGGAAAAAGAAAUUGAAAUUUGUAGUGAUAACAGUAACAGUGACAUUAAUGACAAAGAAAAUGAGUCCUCAGAAAGUAAUCCAGAGAACAUUUUCAAUGUACGCAAAAGAAGACGUGCUCGGGUGCUUUCAAGUUCUGAAAGUGAAACUGGAAGUGUACAAGCUAGUCCAAAUAGAAUUGCCGUAGACGGAACCAAGUGUGAAAGAAUUCAAGGGUCAGGUUCUGGGAGAUUACACACUAUAUUCAAAGACGCAUCCGGCUCCACAGGAUAUGCAAAAAGAAAUAUCGAAAGAUAAAGUAAUUAGCGCAUUUUCCCUAUUAAUUGACAGCCAUAUGUUGCAACAUAUAAUAUCUUGCACCGAAUCAGAAGCUUCUCGAGUUUUGGGUAAAAAAUGGAUCCUUACAGAAACAAAAUUAAAAGCAUUCCUUGGAAUAUAGUACGCAAGGGAAGCAUAUAUAGUGAAAAAUUUGAAACUUUCAUAUUUGUGGAAUACAAAAUGGGGACCAAGCUUCUUUUCCAGCACAAUGAGUCGAAAUGAGUUUGUUGAAAUAUUGAAAUUUAUUCGAUUUGACAAAAAAGAUGAUAGAAGUCAACGUUUGAAAAAUUACAAAUUUGCACUAAUAUCAACCGUAUGGGAUAAGUUUAUUGAAAACAGCCAGAAUUGCUAUAAACCCGGUGCAAACAUUACAAUAGACAAGCAACUUUCCCAACCAAAGUCAGAUGCAGGUUUACGCAAUAUUUACGGAAUAAACUCGACAAAUUCGGAAUUAAAUUUUGGCUGGCAUCUGAUGUUCAAACAAAGUAUGUUGUAAAUGGAUUUCCUUAUUUAGGAAAAAGCGAAAAGGACUUACCUGAAACGGUCGAAUUUUAUAAUAAAACAAAAUUUGGGAUUUGGCUGGCAUAAAUGCCUGGAUUUUAUAUAAAGAAACCACAGGUGAGCAUAUAUCCAGAAAAGAUUUUAUGUUUCAAUUAGCAGAAAAACUCGUCGCUGACAAUGAAAAAUCACGGAUAGAACAAAGAGCAUCUGAGAUCCAAAGUACGUCAAAGAACUCACCUUAUUCAUGCAAAUGGUGUCAGAUAGAGUACUGUAAUAAUAAUAAAACCACCACCAUUUGCAAUCUUCGUAAAAAAUAUGUAUGCGGAAAAUGCACGCAGAAGAAACUUUACGUUUGUAAGAAAUGUGACGAAUGAUAACUUUUGUAUCUAAUAAUUUAAGUUAUAUUUGUAUUUUAUUUAUUAUACUACGCUUAUUACGCUUAUUAUUAUAUUAUUAUAUUAUACUUCUAUUAUAUAUUAUAUUUACCAAUGGAAAUUUAUCUUAAUAUUCUUGUUACCAAAGAUUUUGGUACUAAAUAUUCUUCAUUAUUGUACGUAUUGUUAUUAUUAUAGUUGUUAUUAUAUAUUUUUUAAGAUCUCAGAACAUGGAGUUCCUUUUGUAAGAUAAUAAUAAAUAAAUAAAUAUAAAAAUAUUCUAGUAUUACGUAUUUUUUAAAGACUAGUCAUUUUGACUGGUUUUAGUAGAGAUAGCUACGUCUUAAAUGUCGGUAGUUCUAGUGUUAAACGCGUUUAAAUUCUAUUUUCUUGAAAAUUAAGCGGAAAAACUAAUUGUCAAAUUUUAUAUCACACUUUUUAUUUAUUUUCUCGGACGAGAGAAUUUUAUUUUGUUUCCUGUUAAUUUUUUUCCAUAAGGAAUUACCUCUGUAUCAUACAAUUACAGUAUUGUUUUGACAAACGAAAUAGAUUAAAAGAUUUUCUUAUGAAAAUGCUUAUUUACAUUUAUUACAAUUAAUGAAAUUAUAAUCUUAAUAUAAUAUAUAAUAAUCUUAAAAAAAACGCUAAUAUAGCGAUUUGCACAAAAUCAUUCAAAAUAUCAAUAUUGUCUAAGAAAGAUAAUAUAUACAGACUCCAGAAUGUGCGGUUUAUUCUAUUACUAUUAUUUCUUCCGUUUUAAUUUCUUUAAUUCACUCUGUUGCACUGAAGCUUCGCCGAAGAUUUCUUUCACCUUGCGUUUACGUUCUUCAUCGC